GAUACAUUAAAAGUAACAAGAGGCAGAUAAGGAGAACUUAUAGAGUAUGCUAUUAGGAAUUAUGACUUACCUCAAAAGAGCGGUCUUUUACUUUUUACUGUUUUGUUGUACAUUACCUUAAUGUAAAAUUCACUGUAUGAUCAACUUGCAUUAGCUAAUGGUGAAGAUAAUUAGAAAGUGAUUAAAUACACUGAAAAGAGAUGUGUCCUAGAACACUCUUUAGAGCAAAUCAUAAUGGAAAGCACGUAACACAAAACAUAAGGCACACAACUGAAUAAACAAGAGAAAUCUGUUCAUGUAUAAUGUCAUAAGCUGUCCAACUUCAACAUACAUGUAUGUGAAUGGAAACCUAAAUAAUUCAUCAAAUUAAAUUGCUAAAUAAUAAUUUUAAAUAAAAACGCAUUCAUCAAGUAAUAUAAUUUGAAGCAAGAUAUUUUAUUUGUGUAAUGCCUAGUAGACAAAGACAAAUUAUGAUCAUCAUUAUGGAGACAGUGUAGCUCUGAAGCUGUAUGAUGAAAUGCACCCACUGAAGCUGUGGCAUUUAAAUUACAUUCUAGAACUUCACCGUCUAGACAGUGUCUGUCCCCGAGAACUGAAGGUCGAAUAUCACCUGCAAUUUGUUAAUUCACGUGUUAUGAAACUAACUUUGUGUGUCCUAGAGAGUCAGUCCUCCAGUACUGUGGUUAUAAUGUAACUUUGCCUGUUCAGCUGAAUGGUAGUAAGUGGGCUUAGGAAUGUUAUAGUGUUCCACAGUCCUGAAAAAAUAAAACGUUAGGGUAUGUGCAUGCUUUGGAGAUAUAUAUAUAUGUUUUUCUACAUUUAGGGUAGAUGACAUGAUAUUAGAAUUGAGAGCUGAGUUUGAUUAUUGACUCUUACCUAAUACCAACGCAUGUAUGCAUGCCAGUGAUCUCAACUGUUUAUGCAGUAAUAAAUAAUGUAAUAUUGGUCAGAUGUAGCUGAGAUCAGACUGUCUGACCUGGUUUUGAAUUCCUUAGAUAAUCGAACGCCUCAUCAAAGCAGAGCUCAAAUUAACGGUGGCGACUGCAUAUGCUACCAUGGAGUUUAUCCAGGAUGAAUGACAAGGUGCCAAAUAAGACACCAUUUAAGCAUGUAUACAGUAUCUCACAAAAGUGAGUACACCCCUCAUAUGUUUGUAAAUAUUUGAUUAUAUCUUUUCAUGUGAUAACACUGAAGAAAUGACACUUUGCUACAAUAAGUAGUGAGUGUACAGCUUGUGUAACAGUGUAAAUUUGCUGCCCCCUAAAAAUAACUCAACACACAGCCAUUAAUGUCUAAACCGCUGACAACAAAAGUGAGUACACCCCUAAGUGAAAAUGUCCAAAUUGGGCCCAAAGUGUCAAUAUUUUGUGUGACCGCCAUUAUUUUCCAGCACUGCCUUAAUCCUCUUGUGCAUGGAGUUCACCAGAGCUGAAUGCAGUAUAAAACAAUUGUUAUCUUUUGCGAAGCAAAGAUUCAGUUCAACAACGACUUUGAAGAGUUAACUUUCUCAGGAUGAUGUUAAAAGUUCAUAGACCGCAGGAAAUUGGUGAGGGUUUUAGAGAGAAAGCCCGUGUCCAAGCAUUGUUUGCGCUCAUUAUUCUUACCAGGAGUUUGAAAAACUGUGUCCAGAUGUGUAUUUUUAUUAGAGCUUGAGAAAUGUACAUCUGGACCUGCUGUUUAAGCGGUUAAGCAUGGAGUGAUACACACUCCAUGAAAUGAAAUAUCCCAGUGUGGUUAUACUAAAUACAAACACCGCUUGUCCAAUCAAAUUAAUGAACCAGAACUAACUGUUAUAUAAUAGCAAUUACCAUCUCUAAUCAUCUCUAGAAGAAAAUGUUCAUCUCUAAUACUGAUAUGAUGAAUUUAUGUCAUUUAUAUAUUUGCAUUUCUAGCAUUACGAAUGUGUGCCUAGGAGUGCAAUUUAUAACACGGAACAGUUUGUGUUUUUCUUGUGCUCUGUUUCUUCUGAAUAACCUUCAGGCUACGUCUGUUACCUACACAGUAAAAUCCCUAGUGUUGAAUUAACACCCAGAGUGUUUGUAUGAGUCAAGUGGACUCAUAUAAACACUGUAGGGUGUGCAUUCAACACUGUGGGUGUUAAAUCAACACUGGUGAUUUUGCUUGUACAGUUCCCUCCAAAAGUAUUGGAACAGCAAGACCAAUUCUAUUGUUUUCGCUAUACACUGAAGACGUUUGUGUUUCAGGUGAAAAGAUGAACAUGCGACAAUACAUCAGGCUUUCAGCUUUCAUUUCCUGCUAUUUACAUCUCUACACAUCUAGAUGUAGAUAUCAGGAAAGGAAAGCUGAAAUUCUAUUGUCUCAUAUUCAUCUUUUGCCCUCAAACACAAACGUCUUCAGUGUAUAGCGAAAAGCAAAAUAUUUGGCCUUGCUGUUCCAGUACUUUUGGAGGGGACUGAAUAAUCUACCUUUACACACUAGUGCUGCAAAGUUGCUUUGUUUAAGGGGGUACGAUGAUAAGUAUAUUGUGAGCUAUCAGACCGUUACGUGAGGGAUGCGGUAGUUUAUAGACUUAGAAGAAGAAAAGUACAGAGCAAGCAUGCAGUCACCUUCAGGGUUGAGAGGUCACAGUGAUCUGAUUUAUGAAGACCUGACUGAGCAAGAGUCAGCUCUGAUGGAAUUAACAUCUCUGUCAAUAGAUAGAGGACAUGUUGUUGUUACCAGGGCACAGGACACAACAGCUAGACAGUGAAAUCGAUAGACUUUCUGCUGAGUUGUUGUUCAUGUAAAUACUCAUCUGGACUCCAUUAUGGUGAUCCAUCAAUGGUGAUAUGCGCUUUAGCUGGUAAGUUCACAGUAUUGCAGAGUUGAGACUGACUGAUAUCAUUAGUGUUUAUCAUUAGUGAGAGAUGGACUUGUGUUGAAAGUGGUUCUAUCAGGAUAUUGUGGUCCACCAGUUAAAAACACAAUGCCAGUUCUACAAAGAUGAUGCUUUUUCAAUCCUCCAGUGAUGUUCUUCCUUUGAAACUCUUUCAGUCUUUGGGUUCAAAUGCAGUAUUCUGCUCAUGUGUGGUGCCACACGUUUCCAUUUCCAUUUAGUUGAAAGCAGUACUCUCUUUGAAUUUCCAUUAGUUAUUAGUUAUUCGAUAAGCAAUGCUGCAUUUUCCCCAUGGCUGAGAACACCAUGAGAGGAGCCGUGACCCAGGAAAUCCACUUCUCCCUGUCUGGAAAGCAAUGACUUGCCCUUUAUGCACCUGCUCGUAACCAUGGACACCAGUAUGACCGAACACACACCUCUCCCUCACCCCUCUGGAGGAGGAAAGAGCUGAAGGGAGGGCAGUGAAGGACAGACACAGAGACACAGGUGCAGGACAUGAGCAAACUGAUUCAGACAGUCACACGCAGAGAAAGAAAAAAAAAGAGAAGGAGAACAUCUGAAGUACGUGUAGCUGUGCUGGUUUGAAGAUCCUUGCCUAUCACAGAAUAUGUCUUAUAGGAAGAGGAGCUUCACUUUUGGGGCCUAUGGAGGAGUGGACAAAACUUUCUCCAAGGCUAGAUGUCUAUGGAAAAGCGAUGGCAGAGUGUCUCAAACAUCUAACGCAUUAGAGUCUACUCACUUGACCCACUCAUUACUCCUGUCCCCUCUUUCUGCACUUCUAAAGGUAAGAGACACUGUCUUAUUCUUUCCUUCACUCACUUCUCUCUUUCCCCACGGUGUUACAAUUUCAGGAUGUUCACUUGGUUCAUUUGUACAGAGAUUGUUUCAUCACACUGACUACAGACUUUCUCUUUUUGAUUUCACUCAGAUUUCACUUUCGCCAAGUCUGCUUCAUUCUUCCUUAAUUCUAUUUAUCUCUGCUGCAAAAAUCUUUU
ensembl:lncRNA